AUCUGAAACACUGAACCACUACUUUGGAUUACAUGAAGAAAUGGAUCAAAUACAUCACCACACACAGAGCCACAGAAGGGAGUUCAUGCAGCCUGCAGCAAUGAUAGCAUGGAAGAAUAUUUCAUGGCAUCUAAAGACAAGUGAGGUGUAUAGCAAGGAAGUCAUAUUUUGUCAAGACUAGAUGAACUUGAACCCGGAGAGGUUUGAAUUCUACUGCAACCUCAAAAACCACAAAAAUGGAAGAUAUUUGUUUCAGCUCCUGCCCCCAUGACGGUGCGUGACCAACAUAGACCAACACUCCUACGCUUUGAAUCCCAUCACAGAAGCCCUAAGCACAAAUAAGAACAGAUAUCAUUUGUCGAAGAUGAGUUUCAGUUGCCAGCUUAUCUGUUGAGAUGGACAUUUUGGCUUUGGAAAAGAAAAUGACUGGUUAGUCUUUCACCUUUAUUUCAAUUUCUUCUCUUUCAGCGUACACAUGAGAUGAUGACCUUAAAAUUUUAAUGUUUGCAAACAACUCACGUCUGGUGAUAUCAGAUUAGCUAUAGUAUUUUCUGAAUAAGGUGUAGGAGGGGUAGGAAAAUAACCCGACCUUGUUCUUGAGGUCGGAGAUGCUUAAACACAUAUGUGAAAAUCCCCCCAAGGGAAAAUAUUCACUAUUUUUCACCAGUUC